AGUGAACGCUGGCGGUAGGCCUAACACAUGCAAGUCGAACGGCAGCACAGGAGAGCUUGCUCUCUGGGUGGCGAGUGGCGGACGGGUGAGGAAUACAUCGGAAUCUACUCUGUCGUGGGGGAUAACGUAGGGAAACUUACGCUAAUACCGCAUACGACCUACGGGUGAAAGCAGGGGACCUUCGGGCCUUGCGCGAUUGAAUGAGCCGAUGUCGGAUUAGCUAGUUGGCGGGGUAAAGGCCCACCAAGGCGACGAGCCGUAGCUGGUCUGAGAGGAUGAUCAGCCACACGGGAACAGGAACCAGGUCCAGACUCCUACGGGAGGCAGCAGUGGGGAAUAUUGGACAAUGGGCGCAAGCCUGAUCCAGCCAUACCGCGUGGGUGAAGAAGGCCUUCGGGUUGUAAAGCCCUUUUGUUGGGAAAGAGAUCCAGCUGGCUAAUACCCGGUUGGGAUGACGGUACCCAAAGAAUAAGCACCGGCUAACUUCGUGCCAGCCGCCGCAGUAA
rnacentral:rRNA from 1 species